CCCGCACAAGCAGUGGAGUAUGUGGUUUAAUUCGAAGCAACGCGAAGAACCUUACCAGGUCUUGACAUCCCUGACAACCCGAGAGACUCGGGCGUUCCCCUUCGGGGGACAGGGUGACAGGUGGUGCAUGGUUGUCGUCAGCUCGUGUCGUGAGAUGUUGGGUUAAGUCCCGCAACGAGCGCAACCCUCGACCUUAGUUGCCAGCAUUCAGUUGGGCACUCUAAGGUGACUGCCGGCUAAAAGUCGGAGGAAGUGGGGAUGACGUCAAAUCAUCAUGCCCCUUAUGACCUGGGCUACACACGUGCUACAAUGGGCGGUACAAAGGGUCGCGAACCCGCGAGGGGGAGCCAAUCCCAAAAAGCCGCUCUCAGUUCGGAUUGCAGGCUGCAACUCGCCUGCAUGAAGCCGGAAUCGCUAGUAAUCGCGGAUCAGCAUGCCGCGGUGAAUACGUUCCCGGGCCUU
rnacentral:rRNA from 1 species